rnacentral:rRNA from 1 species
CAAAGGAGCGAUCCGGUGGCGGAUGGGCAUGCGGCGCAUUAGCUAGACGGCGGGGUGACGGCCCACCGUGGCGACGAUGCGUAGGGGUUCUGAGAGGAAGGCCCCCCACACUGGGACUGAGACACGGCCCAGACUCCUACGGGAGGCAGCAGUGAGGAAUAUUGGUCAAUGGGCGGAAGCCUGAACCAGCCAAGUCGCGUGAGGGAUUAAGGCCCUGCGGGUCGUAAACCUCUUUUGCCGGGGAGCAGUGGUCCGGACGCGUCCGGGCCGGGAGAGUACCCGGAGAAAAAGCAUCGGCUAACUCCGUGCCAGCAGCCGCGGUAAUACGGAGGAUGCGAGCGUUAUCCGGAUUUAUUGGGUUUAAAGGGUGCGUAGGCGGGCAUUUAAGCCGGCGGUCAAAUGUCGGGGCUCAACCCCGGCCUGCCGUCGGAACUGGGUGCCUUGAGUGGGCGAGAAGUAUGCGGAAUGCGUGGUGUAGCGGUGAAAUGCAUAGAUAUCACGCAGAACCCCGAUUGCGAAGGCAGCAUACCGGCGCCCUACUGACGCUGAGGCACGAAAGUGCGGGUAUCGAACAGGAUUAGAUACCCUGGUAGUCCGCACAGUAAACGAUGGAUGCUAUCUGUCCGGGCCGAAUGAGGCCUGG